ensembl:snRNA U6 U6 spliceosomal RNA
GCUUGUUUGGGCCGUGCACAGUCUAAAAUUGGAACGACACAGAGAAGAUUAGCAUGGCCCCUGUGUAAAUUCAUGAUAUGUUCACAUUGUCAUCAAUUUCCU